rnacentral:rRNA from 1 species
AUUGAACGCUGGCGGCAUGCCUUACACAUGCAAGUCGAACGGUAACAGGUCUUCGGAUGCUGACGAGUGGCGAACGGGUGAGUAAUACAUCGGAACGUGCCUAGUAGUGGGGGAUAACUACUCGAAAGAGUGGCUAAUACCGCAUGAGAUCUACGGAUGAAAGCAGGGGAUCGCAAGACCUUGUGCUACUAGAGCGGCCGAUGGCAGAUUAGGUAGUUGGUGGGAUAAAAGCCUACCAAGCCGACGAUCUGUAGCUGGUCUGAGGGGACGAUCAGCCACACUGGGACUGAGACACGGCCCAGACUCCUACGGGAGGCAGCAGUGGGGGAUUUUGGACAAUGGGCGCAAGCCUGAUCCAGCAAUGCCGCGUGCAGGAUGAAGGCCUUCGGGUUGUAAACUGCUUUUGUACGGAACGAAAAGCCCUGGGUUAAUACCCUGGGGUCAUGACGGUACCGUAAGAAUAAGCACCGGCUAACUACGUGCCAGCAGCCGCCGUAA